GAUGAACGCUGGCGGCGUGCCUAAUACAUGCAAGUCGAGCGAACGGACGAGAAGCUUGCUUCUCUGAUGUUAGCGGCGGACGGGUGAGUAAUACGUGGAUAACCUACCUAUAAGACUGGGAUAACUUCGGGAAACCGGAGCUAAUACCGGAUAAUAUUUUGAACCGCAUGGUUCAAAAGUGAAAGACGGUCUUGCUGUCACUUAUAGAUGGAUCCGCGCUGCAUUAGCUAGUUGGCAAGGUAACGGCUUACCAAGGCAACGAUGCAUAGCCGACCUGAGAGGGUGAUCGGCCACACUGGAACUGAGACACGGUCCAGACUCCUACGGGAGGCAGCAGUAGGGAAUCUUCCGCAAUGGGCGAAAGCCUGACGGAGCAACGCCGCGUGAGUGAUGAAGGUCUUCGGAUCGUAAAACUCUGUUAUUAGGGAAGAACAUAUGUGUAAGUAACUGUGCACAUCUUGACGGUACCUAAUCAGAAAGCCACGGCUAACUACGUG
rnacentral:rRNA from 1 species